rnacentral:lncRNA from 13 species
GUUGGCUGGUACUAAUGAGGAAGAGUGGAGGAUCACAUAGCAUUUGCUGACAAGGUUUGAAAGUGGCAUCUUUCGCUACUCUCCGUAUCCCAUUGACCAGAUUAACAUGGCUACAACCCAGGACAAGGAAGAAAAAUAGUGGACUUAGGGGAAUCUAGCCAGUCUUGGCCACAUCGCCCAAAUUUUUCAUGGGAGUGAGGAAAGAACAUGGUUCGGAUAGAUGUGCCAGAGGAAAUGCACCAGGAAAUCCUGAGCAGGGUGCAAUCAGUCACCAUUAAUGCUCACAAGUGUCAAAGCUACUUGGAGAAAUACAGCUACUUAUGGAUGGACGAUAAAAUUGAAUUCAUGAAGCAGUUCCUUCUCCAUGAGCGAUUUCUUAGUGCUGAAGAACUAGAAUUGCAGGCGGACUGUGAGUGUCAGAACUCCACACUGCAGUUAGCACACUUUACAGAACAGAUCAACAUCUAUGAAAUGUUAUGUGAAGGAGUUGAUAACUUUAAAAAUCAGAAGAUAUUUAGUGGCUAUCUUCAAGUUGAUAUUACACCUUUGAAAACUCAAUGA